GCUGCUAGAACUGGCAAUUUUUUUUGUCCAUUGGUGCAGGGCAGCCUUCUCCUAGGCAUCCUCUGGUUUGGUAUACAGCUGGGAGAUUUUACCUCUUCCCACUCAAUGAUGAUGCAAUGAGAGGAGACACCCAUGAGAGGUUCCACCUGGCAGAAGAGACCAGGUGGCACUUUUGUGCGCCCAUAACAGAUAAGAAAGAACACCUUGUACUAUAAUCCAAGGCUACUGUGUAGACACAGUUUGAGCAAUUGCGUGAGCUCUGGCUUAAGAGAGAAACAUGACAGUGUCCUCAAAUUUAAAGAAAAUGAAUUAAUCCCAGAUUGAAAACUUUUGAAUUGCAUGCAUUGCUCAUUGCAGAAAGAACAGUGACUUUGUGAUAAUUACUAUGUAGGAAGAAAAUAAUGCAAAUAUCAGCUAACAUGACUCAUAUCCUGGGUUUGCCAGACACACGUCACUGCUGUAUUUUUCUACACCUACAUCUGAAUGCAAUCCUCUUAAGAAAGACAAAUUGUGAACCAACUCUCUACGGAAGCAGAAGUGUUUCGUGUCAACAUGUCAUUAAGUCCAGUUGAAAAACAAACAAAAAUAAUUCCAUGCCUUUGGAAGUACUCACAGGACUUUCUGCAACAUCUUUGGAUAUAAUCCUAUCAUCAUUCUAGAGCUGAUCCAAGUCUUUCUGCAUUCACAAUUACAUUUCUGUGGUACUGGUACUCCGCACAGCAAGCCUGAUGCGUUCAUGCCAGUUGAAAGAUUAUUCAUAAGAACUGACCCCAUAUAAAACUAUGAUUCUGCAGACUGACAAAACUGGAUCUUGGCCGCAGUUUUUAAUGCAAAAUUUAAUUUCCAAAAAUUUCUUACUUCAUUUGAACCAGCAAAAUCACUUUGUACUAGGUGAACAUGAUGUGAACAUGAAGUGGCUGCAGAGUUCUUCAUGUGGUGGGAAAAGUCCCAAAGGUGGAUUUAUUGAUUUUCAGAACCACAGUCUUAAAUAAAACUGUUGCAUACAGUGGUUUUUGCAGCGAUGUUGUUGUUCUUGUUAUUAUUGUUUG